GGAGAGGUGGGUGAGUGGCUGAAACCAGCAGUUUGCUAAACUGCCGUACCCUAUUCGGGUACCGGGGGUUCGAAUCCCCCUCUCUCCG
rnacentral:tRNA from 1 species